AUUGAACGCUGGCGGCAGGCUUAACACAUGCAAGUCGAACGAGUGGCGGACGGGUGAGUAAUGCCUGGGAAACUGCCUGAUGGAGGGGGAUAACUACUGGAAACGGUAGCUAAUACCGCAUACUAUCGGAUGUGCCCAGAUGGGAUGGGCUGGUGGGUGGGGAAAAGGCUCACAGGGGCGACGAUACCUAGCUGGUCUGAGAGGAUGACCGGCCACAUGGGAACUGAGACACGGUCCGACCUCCUCCGGAGGGCACAAGUGGGGAACAUUGGACAAUGGGGGCAGGCCGAAUGCGGCCAUGCCGGGGGUAUGAGAAGGGCCUUCGGGUUGUAAAGUACGUUCAUCGGGGAGGCGUUACCCGAAGAAGAAGCACCGGCUAACUCCGUGCCAGCAGCCGCGGUAAUAC
rnacentral:rRNA from 1 species